rnacentral:rRNA from 1 species
ACACGGGGGGGGCAAGCGUUGUCCGGAAUUAUUGGGCGUAAAGGGCGCGUAGGUGGGACAGCAAGUCUGAGGUGCAAUCUUGCGGCUUAACUGCAAGCUUGCCUUGGAUACUACUGUUCUUGAGUUCGGAAGAGGGUAGUGGAAUUCCUGGUGUAGCGGUGAAAUGCGUAGAUAUCAGGAAGAACACCGGUGGCGAAGGCGGCUACCUGGUCCGAUACUGACACUGAGGCGCGAAAGUGCGGGGAGCAAACAGGAUUAGAUACCCUGGUAGUCCGCACAGUAAACGUUGGACACUAGGUGUUGGUCUCUAUGAGAUCAGCGCCGCAGCUAACGCAUUAAGUGUCCCGCCUGGGGAGUACGACCGCAAGGUUGAA